ACAGGUGUGUUAUGGUAGUUGCGGCUAACGUAGCCACGAGCUGCUAGCCACAAGCAGAGAAGAGGGAAGGGUUAAAAAAAAAAGGUCUGGUCACCUGACCUAGAUGUCCUCUUAUUAAGAUCUUGAUGCUGACAAAUCAGAAGAUGGGCAUUUCUGGCAGCACUUCAACAUUGACAGCGUGGGUGCUUCGGCCUAAAGGAGCAUAUCGCAGGUCAAACUGUGAGAGGAAAAAGAAAAAAGAUGCAAAGCCUCUGCGUUGCCUCUAAUGCCCUGAAAGGAACAAGCACAUCUACAGUUACCAGCCACCGCUCACGGUCUGCCUGUUACUGGAAAUACAAUGGAAAAAGGUAUUCAACCAACCGGAGCACAAAGAGCUUCUAACUGUGCCUAACUCUCCCUGUUCUGUUCAUGUAACCUUGUAUGUGUGCAUGAGACAGACAGAAAGAGGGAGACAGAGAGAGUCUGUGUGCGUCUAUGUGUUUGUGUUCAGGACACAGAAAUGCUGAUGCCUCUCCUUUGGGCCCUGUCAAGCACACUUAGCGUCAGUGUUUACAAUGCAAAAUGGGAGAAAGUUCCUGUAAUUCCAGGAGGCCUGAAGGCAGGCGAAGGCAGGAGGAAGGCAGGACCCGGGGGGGGCGACAUCACUCUGUUUUGGAAAAGCCUAUGGGGCUGCAUGUUUGAGCACUGUUGAAGGACGCACUCACCUCAUGGUGAAAUCACAGCAUGCAAUGUCGUGAAUUUAGAUUGAUGCAUGGUGUAACAGAACUGAUCCCUGGUUACCCUCAGGCAAAUCUUAUUUAUAAUGAAGGCAGUGUGAAUUCUGUAGAGGAGUCGCUUCAUUGUUUUAUAAAAAACUCAACGACGUGUCGCUGCUCGUUGGUUGUGUCAAAGUUCCAACUCCAGACUUGAAUCAGUAGUUGGACAGUUUGAGAGAUGUGCUUGUUGCCUCCAUCGUGUCUUUAUGGUAAAUACGGAGCUUCUGCCAGCAGUUGUGUCGUCACCGGCAGGUUACCAGGCAACCAGCUGAGACUCCAGGAAGUUACUGUGCCCAGCCAAGAAAUAGCCUGGCACAAAAACCCCUGAAGAAUCACAAUGUGCUGUUUACACACUUUGGUUUUUGUAUGGAUUAAACAAAUGAGUUACAGUGUAAUAUUUUAAUUAGUCAGGUUUAGAGGUGCUGAUGGGAGGAUUUUGUUACUUUUGAGCAGUCCUUUGUGUAGCUGUUUCAUCAUUUCCUGUCUUUGUGCUAAGCUAAGCUGACCAGCUGUUGACUUUACCAUACCUUCUCAUCUAACUUCCAGCAAAUACGUGCAUUUACCAAAGUGGUGUUAAAUUGGAAUUUUGAUUAUGCUUUUUCUGACUCAUGUAAACCUGAAAUA